UCUAAUGUGCACAGUCUUCUGUGAAAACGCUACUUUUAAGGCUGAAGUUUACCUCCGUAUCAAGAAAAGCAAGAUCUCAAGCAGACGAAAUCCCCUGAAUUCCUUUUUAACUCCAGAGGAAUCUCCUAGUACAUGGGCAGCAGCUUCAAAAUGGUUACGGUGAAUGUAGUCCCAGCAGUUCAACUUUAUCAUGACAGCACACAGUUCUGGUGUGGCGCACAUUACCAAUCUGUUUCCGAAACAACUUUUUCCAUCUUAAGUCCUCAAUGUGAAAAAGAAUCUCCAAGCUAUGGAGGUUGUGCCAAGCAAAAUAAGUAACACAGACUGUUGAGCAACUCAGCUACAGUGGAGUCUCUGAAGGAACAUAGCUGGCUGGUACAACAUAGACUACUUUAUCCUCUAUGUAAUUUGGGCAGAAACUCCAUAUAUCUCCCUUCAUUGCUACAGCCUUAAAUAGAAGUAGCAGAGAACGAGGGCCAAAUACAUUCAGUUGAGAAUUAAAGUAUAUAUUACAACCUUUUUUGAUGGCAUAAAUCUAUAUGUAUAAACACUGCACACCUGUGUAUAUAUAUAAUUAUUUAAGCAUCUGAGUAUUUUUUUAAAAUUUCAUGUCUGUAUACAUGUAUACGUGUAGCAGAUAAUUAAGCAUCAUGAGUACCAACAAAGCAAAUUCCUAUUCCUAUAAGUAAAGAUUACUCAAAAAUCAAUGCUUCAUGUUUGGAUGUAAACACUGGAAAACACUGAAGAGAUGCUUAGUCUGUCCUAUCCGAAAAGCAGAAUUUGUGUGCAUAUUCAGACUCACUUGAGGAUCUCAAAAACUAUGCUUAUCAAUAAAGUAUUGAGACAUGCUUUUGACAAUCUGACUAAACACAUUAGCAAAUAUUUUUACAUGAUUUCAUUGUGGAGCAAAGGAGAAAUGGAGAAGAAGGCUAAAUUUUAAAGGUCAUCUGCCAUGACUGACUCAGAAGAAAAUGGUCUUGGCCUGAACCAGGACCUUGCAAUAAUGGUUUGGACACAGGUAGAUAGUUAGGACCUUCUGGGCAUGUUCAAAAUGCUGUAAAUCCUCAAAAGUACUGUGGAUGAUAUUCAGGCAUGUAUAAGUGUAACUGAAUUGAAUUGAUCAUUGCUGUGCUAAGACUACUGCUUAUUUUGACAUGUGUAAUAGGGAGUAAUUAGGGAUUAGAAAUGGGCUAGAGGGAAAGAGCAGAAAAAGCAUCUUAAAAUAUUUGGAAUAUAUCAAACUCAUUGUCUCCCUUGCACAAAAGAUUAAUGCUGUUUUCCUCUCAAAAAAAAAUAAAAAAUGCUUAGCAUAUAAAAAUAGGUAAAGACACAAAGUAGAAGUGCCUUGAGUACAAGUGCUGGAGAUUGGCUUUCUCUAACAGUCUUAUCAUGAAAGAAUGUGUUCGUGUUUGUUCAAAAGCAACAAUAACUUGCAGUCUUUGUUAAACAUGUAACUAUUAAUUUAGUUAUGUUUUCCCUUCAAUGAAUCUGCCCUAUACUCUCUAUCCAUACUAUAUAUCAGGAAAAUUUGACAGCUGUAUGGAUUGUGGGGUGUUUGAAUACCUAAAAAACAAGAUGGCUCUGCUAAAUAUUUUUACCAGGCUUUUUGCUCUUUGGUUCUUCCAUUCUGUUCAGGUGGAGAAGUGAUGGAAAGUGCAUAGCAAACGUUGUCCGUAUGAGUGUUGUUAUUCUGACAAUUAUAUAUGCCCUGCAUGUUUUUUCUUCUCUGUCUUCAAGCCACAGAAGUUUCACAUUUGUAAUGAAUCUUUUAUAGUUUCAGAGAAACACUGUUUCUUUGGAAGUCCAUGGAAAUAUGGAAUCCAUUCCUAUAACGUUUGAAUGCUUCUUUUGACCAUUUCAAGGUAACAGCUCCAAAUAUCUUUGGAGGAGAUCAAGACUGGAAUCUUGAAUUUGGUAUGGAUUCAGUGCGUGGGUAUUUUGCCAGAUGGUUUGUCAGAUUUUGGGAACACUUAACAAAAAUGAAGCAGAACAGGUACCAUUACAGAUACUUGUGUUUAGUAUCAAAUACUGUCCAACACUAACUGAAGCCUCCAAAAAAGAAAUCAUACAGACUCACCCUUGAAAUGUCCAGUAGAGACAUUUAACCUCAGGUCACAGCUGUCCCACCCACUACAUUUAGUGUCACUUACACAAUUAUGUAAGUGAUGACUCAUGAGCACUGACAAGUGAAGUCUGCAAAAAAAUUUUGCCUGUGUCUGUGCAUGUUUUAUCUUUCAACAGGUACUCAUUUUGAGGAUGAUAGACAUAAGGAUUCUUUUUCAAAAUUUUUCUAUUUUCUACUUUUUGCUUUUAUUUUUAUAACUGUGGUGCUAAAAUAGGGAGCUCGUUCAAAAUAAUAAUUAUUGGUUUUCAGACCAUUAAAAAAACAGAUUGACAAAUCAACAAAACCUUAGCCCAGUGCUAGUCCCUAUACAAAAUUCUGUGUAAACUCAGUAAAUUUUAUCAGAGCAAACUACAUUAAAAUUCUAAGAAAGACUUUACAAGCAUUUACGUGCAUACACACAUCUAUUUACACAGUUAUUUCAUUACUGUUAUCAUAAUACCUUGACUAUUUAGUCACAGAAUAGGUCUCCCCUUGGUAUUUCAUUGCAUUUUCUUAAAAUCCCAUUGUAUAUUCACGGUACAACACUACCUGCUAUAGAAAUCUCUUGAUGCAAGUGAAAGACAGGAUGACAAACAGAUACAGAAAGACAGAGCAGGAAAUAAAUGUAGGCAGGAUGGCAGAGGCUUCAUCACUGUCCCUACAGGUUUGGGCUUAGAGCAAGCAGACCCAGAGCAUACCAGAUAGGCGACUUCAGAAUGUUUGGGUUCAUCAGCUUCAGCUUUGGGGAAUACAAUUGGGGCACCCUUAAAUUCUGCUCUCCAUUAUAUUUUAAUGGGAUGCUACUUCUUCAGAAAUGUGUUAUUAUAGUUCCCCUAGUAUCAGCCUGUAAAAUUCCAAGCAAGUUGGUUCCUGAAAAAUAUUUCCAGCCUUUAAAUAUUCUGUAGAGUGAAGUCCUGAGUAGCCCUUCAGAAUAAAUGGAUAAAACCUUGCCAGAUUUCAGAGAAACAUUUUGCCAGUUUCUUCUAUCCCUACGAGGAACUUGAAUUUACACUGUACAUUACCUUAUGUGUAGUCUAUACUAAGAAAUAACCUUUAUUCUUGCUAGUAGAACAGCUACAUCAGAUGAUGCCAACAUACAGUCUGAUGCCUUGCCUUCUGCUGCUCAUCCUUACUAAAAUCAUGAGUAAGCUCGCCAAACAAAAAUUAUUGUUUGAAUCACCUAAAAUAGGAGUUUUUGCUGACAGAGUUAUCCAGCUAGCAAAUAACAGGAAAAUUCAAAACCUGAAGCAGAGUUGUCUUCUGAAAUUCAAAAAGCCCCUUUGGAGAAUUUCACUUCCUAGCAGUAUAAACACGUUUUCUAGUUCCCAGAUAAAGUAUUUCCAGAACAGGUGUAAAAGUAGGUAAAUGCAGCUUCCAGAAGGGAACUGGAAGAGGUGUGUUGUCAAAAAAUGCUAUGAAGAAUCACAGCAUGUUCCAAGUAAUCAGUCCUCUAUGAAGAAAAUAUAAUGCUUCCUGUGUAUCCACACCACUUUUGCAUAUACUUAAGCAAUUAUUCUAAAUCAUCGUACAGGCUAGUACACGUUUGCAAAAUACAUUUUUAUGUUGAAUGAAUUCUCUUUUGUGAGAAUGAAUGAUAACCUGGAGGAAAUCACAGAUGUGUUAAAUUAACAAUCCUUUCUAUGCUAAGCCGUAAGAAUUUAUUUCAGUAUCUAAAACUGUGUAGUGGGCAUAUACAAUACUUCGGUUUUAUGAGAAUAUCUCAAGUUUUGAUAGUCAAAUGGCAGUGACUGUGAGCAAUCUGCAUAUCUUUCUUUCAGUGAGAAUGAGAUUUCUGCCUCUGUAGUAUGCAAUGUAAGACCACCUAUCAACUGGCACUCGAAUAUGAAGCCAGUAUAAAGUAUUCAGCUUUAAUUUCCACUCAGGAAAAUCUGUUGGAUAAAUUGUAUCAGCUCUUGAGCCCUGGUUGUAUUCAGCCUGUUGUUUAGGUCUGUGUUGUUAAAGGGUUUCAGUUAAAAUCAGAACAUAACUUUUUUUUUUUUUUUUUUUCCAUAGUUUGUUCUGCUAAAAUCUGGUAGUUUUGAAAAGAAGGGAAGAAAAGAUAUUUUUGGAUUUUUCUUCAGUAAAAUACACUUAAGUGAGAAUGUUUUCUUUUUAUUGCAUGAGAACAGGUUUGGGGUAAACAAGGACAAUACUGAGCAAAGCCUGGUAUAUAAUUACAGAACUAGGAAGUGAAGCUUGUUUUCUCUGUUGUAUAUUAGGUCAAAUCUUAUUAUACCCACAUAGCAACAGGGAUUGUCCUGUGAUUGUAAAUAUGUUGCCUUUUAUGUAAUUACAAGUCAAUCUUUCAUUCAACAUAUAAAGCAAAAGAUUGUUGUGAAUAGGUUUCCUAAUUUAUGAAUUCAGAUGCUGCACCCCAUAAAGUAAUGAGCUGUUUAACUUUUUUAAAAGAAUGACAUUUCAGCAGAAUACAAUUCAUCACUUGUACACAGUACCCUUUGUUUCCAAGAAGUUAUAUAAGUAUCAGUUAAUCAUUAUAAACCUUUGAGAGAAAGGAAAAAUUAUCAUUCAAAAGUAAUAAAUAAAGCAGGCACAGAUACUUAAGUACUAGAGUGUCAGAACUUUGAUCAACACAUUUUAAAUUAUUUUCUGACAAUGACAAAAAUGAGGAAAUCUCUAUAUGUAUGUAUGAAGUAGUCUUAGAUGUGUGUGACGGUACCCUACCUGACUCACCCCCAUUACAAGACCAGUGCCUACCCCAAGUUGGGAAAUGUUACUUUAAUGCUGAUAAUGCUAAAUUUAUCACUCUGUGUAAGCAAUUAUGACAUGGACAUUUUUUUUUUUAUCUUUUUUUUUUUUUUUCUUUUUCUUUGUUAAUCAGCUGUGGGGAGCUGUAUUUUCCACAGCAUUUACCGUUUGGGUAUCUCUGGAAAACCUUUGCAACUUCUAGCUUUGACAGCAUUCAGUUCACCAAAAACUAAGUUGGUCUGAAAUUCCUGCUGCAAGGUGUGUACAGCUCCUCUCUGCCUUUGUUACGCUGGCUGCAGCAACGGCUCUGUCGUGCCUUGAGAGUCACAAUCUGUGUCUAGUAAAAUAGAAGGAAGAAAGAAAAGUUUGCUCUGGUACACAGAUAAUUAUGAGGAUAUCAGGCCCAGUUACUUCCUCCAUUUGGGAAAAAUUCCUCACGUAGAGUGAAAUUUCUAGGAAGAACUCACAGCUCCUCUGAAAUCUUCCCUUAAGCUCAAGCACCUGCAGCAAGACUUGCCAGCCACCGUAAGUCUGGAUUCUCCUAUGAUGCUUUAGAAGAAGAUGCCCCCUUCUGCAAAGUCACAUGUCAGGAUAAAUUGUGGUACCUUAAUUCAUAGACCACCUGAAAAUAAUCUGCAUAGUGUGGUUUGGAUUCCCCCUUCCGUAUGCCAGGGGCUUAAUGUACAAUCUACUGAAUAUCACAGAAGUCUUUCCACUGAUGCUGAAGUGGCUUUGGAUGGGGACUAUCUGCUGAAUCUUUGUCUAGAGAAUGCAAAUGUCAGAGAACUAAAGAAACUUGAAGGGGUAGAUAAAUACACUGUUCCUUUUCAAUCUGCAAUGAAGAAAUCUAGGAACAUGAGAUGGAAAAGGCACUCCUAGGUUAUUGAGCUCAGCCAUGUUAUUGUCAUCAGUCGCAUCACAUACUGCUCUUCAAAACUCCAUCUACUUCUGCCUGCAGAAUCACAGACAGAACUCCUCAUGGAAGGCUGCUCCAGAAUGUCAUUCAACUGAAGGAUGAAGACAUUAUUCUAGUGUCAAGAGUAAUAUUAUUUAUGAACCAUUCACUCCUGUUUUGCUCAUGUCCUUUCUCUUAAAUAGUUUGUUUAUCCACACACCCAGCCCUCUUACAGAGUAAGUUACCUCAAAAAGUACAGAAUAUUUAAGUCCUUGCCCAAACUCUAGCAUGGUAAAAAUCAAUUCUUAGUGAAGCUAUAACCAUUUACAAUGAAUGGUAAUUUUGUACAGUAACAUUUAUGUUGGAUUUUAAGGGAUUUCUAAAGAGGAUGUUACAACAAAAGGCAAAAAAUAUGUUUGUACAGCCAAUUAUAAGUGUAAUAUGUUGUAAGACUUUAAUAUUACUCUAUUUUCUCUUAUUAGUCAUCAUAAAGCCAGAACUAGUUCUUCACAUUAUAUUACACAACAGUUUCAAGUGCCCUUAGGAUUUAUGUCUCAUCCUGGCCUUGCAUUUUAAACUUGAUAUGGAUAUUCUGUGACUGAGAUAAGGUAAACUUUUUUUCCACCUCUUCCACUGUAAAUGUCUUCCUUACACAAGACCUGAGCCAACUCAGAUCCAGGAAGCAGGAGACAGGUGGUGCUGUGGCCCCACUGGUCAACUCCCCUUCUUUAUAACUGUACCAAUUAUGGGAUCCUAGCUAAUAGCACUUUGUGGUUAUUUCAUUGUCCUAUGCAGAUAAACCAGCUUACACUCAGAAUGAGCACCAGUCUCAUUGCUUGUCACUUCAUUGCGUGAUAGAGAUGAAUCUUAGACGUGCCUCCAUGCAGUAUAAACACCAAGCUUUUUUCUAAUCUCUUCAUCCUUUAUAACUUCAAUGUCUGUACAGAUUUAUGAGACAUUUCAAGCCCUGAACUUCUUAACUUUCUCCUGGUCCGUUAGAAGGAGCAAUUCUACUGACUAAGGGAGAGUUACUAUGACUUUUUGCUCAUGGUCAAAACCACAGUUGUUCAUUUCAAGGGCUCUUCCUCAUUCCUCAGGAUGAUGAAGUGCUAACCACUAUCGAAAAAAGGACAGCUGGAACACUGAACCACCAAGCUUAUAUAGUAUGACAAUCUUCAUGUUUCACAUCUGUAUAUUUUCAUUGUUUGGUACUAUGUUCCUUCCAUAAAAUUAUGCAUCUAGUUAUUGGGUAAAAAGCUGAUUACCACUAACUAGUGGGUACAAUACAAAAGGUGUUUUGGCUGUUUAGUUCAGCUCAAGAAACUGCCAUAUCAUAUUUGGGAUAUUAGCUCCAGUUCAUGGAUUGCACUGGCAUGAAUAUUUCUAGUUCUGUUGAGCAGAGCAGAGUUAUCAUGCUUCCAGACAGACUCAGAAUUGCUUGCUGUCCUCAGGGACUUAUCAGUGACCUCACUUGUAGGAUGUCAGGGAAAAAGAGAACAAGGACAUCGGGUGAAAGUACCCCAAGAAAGGUAUAGCUUAUCGGUUUGGUAAGUUUGCUCAAGAGAGACUGGGACCAGAAAAAGACUGGGUUUAAAUGAGACUGAGAAUUGACUUGACAGCAGAUGUAGAAACAGCAAAAGAACAGGUACUAAAAGCUCCUGUUCCUGCUAAGAAUUUCUGGUGCAGACAGUAGCAGAUGGACAGCUUGCAUAAAGGGAGAAGGUACUACCUCCUCAAACAGCCUGUGACAUGUAACCUGGGUUCAUGUCAGAAAUUCAGUUGAUUUUUUUUUAUAAAGUAUUAUUUUUUAGGAAUAAGUAUGAGGCAGCUUCCAAUUAAAUCUCUCUGAAUGUGCUGCACAGUUGUGUAUUAUUGGAAUACUUUCUUUUAUUUUUCAA